ACACAGUAACAGAGGGAUUGAGGGCCUGCUCAGUGAGUUUACAUGUUAGAGGGAGUGGGGUAUAGUGACACAGUAACAGAGGGAUUGAGGGCCUGCUCAGGGAGUUUACAUGUUAGAGGGAGUGGGGUAUAGUGACACAGUAACAGAGGGAUUGAGGGCCUGCUCAGUGAGUUUACAUGUUAGAGGGAGUGGGGUAUAGUGACACAGUAACAGAGGGAUUGAGGGCCUGCUCAGUGAGUUUACAUGUUAGAGGGCGUGGGGUAUAGUGACAGUAACAGAGGGAUUGAGGGCCCUGCUCAGUGAGUUUACAUGUUAGAGGGAGUGGUGUAUAGUGACACAGUAACAGAGGGAUUGAGGGCCUGCUCAGUGAGUUUACAUGUUAGAGAGAGUGGGGUAUAGUGACACAGGAACAGAGGGAUUGAGGGCCUGCUCAGUGAGUUUACAUGUUAGAGGGAGUGGGGUAUAGUGACACAGUAACAGAGGGAUUGAGGGCCCUGCUCAGUGAGUUUACAUGUUAGAGGGAGUGGGGUAUAGUGACACAGUAACAGAGGGAUUGAGGGCCCUGCUCGGUGAGUUUACAUGUUAGAGGGAGUGGGGUAUAGUGACAGUAACAGAGGGAUUGAGGGCCUGCU